UAUAUAUAUAAUAUGUAUAUAUAUAUAUAUAUAAUAAGCCAAACAAAAAGAAACCGUAACCCACUACCAGUACCAUUCCUAAUUAUACUAUGGAACCCUAUGUUAUUCUCUCACUCUCUCGUCUUUUCCUUUCUCUGUCUCGUUCACUUUCUUUUCCCUUCGUCAGCGAUUCUUUCUUCUUUUCUUUCUUCAUCAUUUUCUUCUCUAGUCACCAAAUACCACCACAGGAUUACACAAUCAUGAGAAUACACAAGCAUGAAGGGAAAUUUCUGAAUUUAAGUUGAAGGGUUCUUGGCAUAAUUUUGGAUUUAGGAUUUAUGCUAUGAGGAAGGAGAAGAGCACCAACUCUCACAUAAUUGCUUAUUUGGUUUAUUGAGAUUUGACGGCUAGUGGUUCAUUCAAUCGACAUGGAGUGGUUGAGAGCAGUUCGGUUGAUUCGUCAUAGUUAUUUUCAGGCAACUGAGUAGCGGAUUGUUGUCAGAUUCAGAUCUUUCAGUUUUCUUAUUGGUAGGCCUCCUUUGGUUGGUGGCUCGAUUGAUGUCUUCAUUUGAUUGUAGUUAUCUGCAGCUAUAGGGAGUCUUAGGUGGAUUGAUUCUGAAUUGUUAUUUAUUAUUUUAUUUAAGAAAUUUUGGUUAUGAUGAAAACAUUUGGCAGGUUUAUUGUUUUGGAAAUGUUGAUAAUAUAAAGGAGGUUUGUUGAAUUAUUUUAAAAUAUAGAGCAACAUGUAUAAUUUUUGGAAAACACUUUGGAAAAUGAUUUUGUGAGAAACAGGCUUGCCAGACUAGGGUGUUAGUCUGUGCGCCGGUCACGGCUUAGGAUUUUGGGUCGUGACAAAGUUGGUAUCAGAGCUUUGGCUGUAGGUCCUAAUAGCUGCAGACAUGAGGAAGAGAUGGAAUCUUUCUAGUAAAUUGUGAACCGCGGCACAACUUACUUCAAAGAUGCUAUUAACGCCUCAUGAGUGUUCUAAAGUUGUUUCUAUAUUGUGAUUUGAGUUCGUUCCUCAUUCACUGAAUUCCGAGUCAUGUGUUAUGUUUGACGAAUAUUCUUUGUUCAGUGAGGAUGUCACCUUAAUUAGGAUUUUCAUUAUAAGAUGAGUUAACUUACUAGGAUCCUCUUAAAGCAGGUCGUGGUCGGCAUUGUGGUUUAGGCGAAGGACCAUUUCCUGUAGCCGCUGGUUGUUUGCUGUUGUAGCCAAUAUUAACGUGCUUAUAUUGAGGUUAUGGGGGGCUUGUCCUCUCCUUGUAACAAAAAAAAAAUAUUCAAGUUAUGAAAUUUAGGGAUGUUAGAGCUUAUAGUUGGUACGAAGGAAUUAUAAAAUGAUUUGAAAUAACGUGUUGGAGUGGUUGGUGGACAGCAACAAGGGAACCCACAUAAGAAAAUUUAUGAGAGUCAGUUAGAGGUUAGACAGAGGAAAGUAACAACAAGUAGGUGCCACUAGACAGAUUGAGGUCACAGUGAUUGGUUUUGUGUAGCUAAUUAAUUCUCCUACUUUACACAUGCAAGUAAGGAUCCACAAAGGAAUAUUGGUUCUUUAGAGAGAUUGUGGACAUAACUUUGAUGCGCAUACAUUAAUGCAGUAGAGUUAAUAUAGUUCUAUCUUUUGAUUGUGGUAUAUGAUUAGAUUGAUGACUUUAUGCGUAUGAGAGCACUGAGAUCACCUCUGAUAGCAUAAGAUGAAUUUUCCUAGAAAUUCAAGAAUCGUUUCGUAAUAGAGAGAGCUAGAGAGCUUAGCAAUUGAUUUGAGCUGCUAGGGCAGACUGAGAACAGUGACUCUAGAGAGUGGUUCUAGUGGAUACUUAUCAUGAUUUGUUCAAAUUCGUAGAGUAGAUUUUAGGGGUCUUUACAAUCCAUUUUUAUUCUUGGAAGCAUUUUGCGCAAGAUCUACACGUUGUCCUACUUGUGUGAAGUUUCAUCCCGUAGCUUGCGUUGGAGAUGAUUAGGUGUGCUGUUAGUGCGAUUGGACAUGUCAUAUUACGAGGAAUUUCCUUGUGGUUGUGGUGCAACCUUUCUCUAGUAAGGGAUAAGUGUUAUUAAGAGUAUCUUUAGCAUCUUGCCUGCCCCUACAACACUUGUUAGACAAGCUAUGAGUUCUUUUGGGUGAAGCCGAGGUUUAUCUAAAAAUAAUGGUAAAUGAAAGGGUAGUCGAGGUCAAUGACAUGAUAGGUGAGUCGAGCACAAGUAUUUUCUUUGACUCAUCACGAUGCUUAGGCAACCAAUGCAGUGACAGCAAAUAUACUCUUUAUAUGAUAUUGAGAUGAUUAUGUUUUGCUUAAGGCUAUAGGUAUAUACUUUUUAUCAUUGUCGUCAACUCAGUGAAUUAUCUUCUUUCCUGAAUAAGACGUUGGUCGCUGCUGCACCUCUUGGGGAGCAUUUGAUAAUUGAGUUUGUGCACCAUUCUUUUUAAGGUAUCCAUUGGAGAUUGAGAGUUGUGGUUAGUCAUUAUAGCAUAAGACAUGAUUGAUUUUAAUGUGAUCUUGGGAGAUAGAUUGGUUAAUCUUUUGUCAAUGAUACUUUGGACUGUCAUAGCAAGUAAUGAGAUUUACAUUAUUUGAAGAGUCAUCUUACACAUUUUUGGGAGAGUGAAGUCAAACAUCAUAUAUCAUUUGGAGCUAGAAAAUUCCUAAGAAAGGGUUGGAAAUAAUACUUGACCUUGGUAAAUGAUACUCUAACAGCUGAAAUGAAAUUAGAAGAUAUUCUUAUAGUAUGUGCAUUUUGAAGGUAUUUCGUGGAAGAUUUCCUCAUUAGCCCCUCGACAGGGGAUAGAGCUUUCCCUAAACUUGGUCCCUAGCACCAGUUUGAUUUGUUAAGAUGAGAGGUGAAAUUAUGUAGUUAUGUGUUGACUAGAGGCAGUUGGACAAUAUGAUGGUAUAAAAAACAACUUAGUAAUGUAGGUACUAUAAAUGGAAUAUUAAGAAAGAAAGAAUUUUGAAGACCACUUACAGAACAUGUUAUUUAUGACUGUAAUGGGUAGAUAGUCAUGCUUUUGGAUUUAGGGAUGCCACUACUAUUUUUUAUGAAUUUAAAGGACUGCAUCUUUAAUCAUCCAAGGAUCAUUUUGUGGUUGUUCUUGUUGAUUUGGGAUACUACUAAGACAAAGAAGAACACUAUAAGGUUGUUGAUUGUAGAGUUAUGUAUAGGCUGCCCAUUCCAGCUCACUGUUGAAUUUUUGCAAUUCUUUCUAUAGUGGACAAUGUGGUUGAUGACAUUAAACAUGAUCAAGGUCAAGAUUUGUAUGUGGUGAGGAUGGUAGAGGAUUUUUUAAAGUGAAAGGUUCCACAUUUUUCAAUAGACUCUGAUGAUAUUUUAUGACUUGAAUGGUGAUGUGUGUGCCUGAUGUAGAUAGUUUGUGGGGAAAAUAUUAGAGGAUGCUCAUAAUUAUUCUUACAUGAUUCACCUAGGAUACUUGAGAAAAUUUUAUUGGUGGGAAGAGAUGAAGAAAAAAAAAUGUUGUAGAAUUUGUUCCUAAAUGUUUAGUAUGUUAGAGAUGAAAGAUAAGCACUAAAAGUCAGCAGAGUUACAUCGAUAUAUUGAGAUACAAAUGACAGUUGAAAGAUAUUGUUACGAACCUCUUGACAAGGCUACCUUGAACCUCCAAAGAGUAUGAUUCAAUAUGAGUUAUUAUAUAUAGGUUGACUAAGCAUGCACACUUCUUGCCUAUGAAGACUUAUUACAGUAGAGUAUGCUAAGCCUUACUUUGAGGAGAUUAUCUCUCUGCAUAGUGUACCUGCCCCUAUUAUUUUAGAGUGAGGGGCUCAUUUUACUGCACAGUUUUGGAAGUCUUUCCAGAUUGUUUUAGAGACUCAUCUGAAUCGAAGUACAACUUUCUACUCUUAAAUUGAUGGCUAACUUAAGAGAAUUAUUCAGAUCUUGGAGAAUAUGUUUCAUGCUUAUGUUUUAGGCUUUAGAGGGAGUUGAGAGCAGACUUUGUUUUUAAUGAAGUUCGCUUAUAAUAGCAAGUUGUCGAUCUAGAUUUUAGAUAGCACAAUUUGAGGCUAUGUAUAGUAAGAGUCUAAGAGAUGUAGAUCACCAAUAAGUUGAUUUGAAGUUGAGAAGCUAAGUUGUAGACUCAAAACCUAUCCAAGAUGCAACAAAGAAAGUUGAACUAGUUUAAAUCGUUGGUUACAGGUCAAGGUAAACAAAAGUUUUAUGCUGAUAGGAGGUGACACCUUUUAGAGUUUGUUGUUGGAGAUCAUGCAUUCUCACACCUAUAUUCACUGAAAUGAGUACCAUGGUUUGGUAAGAAAGGGAAGUUAAGUUCAAGAUUUGUUUAAUGUAGGUACUUUGGAAGUCUUCCUUGAAUUGCUUUGGGGACUCGCUUGAAUUUAAAUACUGUUUUUCAAUCCUCAAACUAAUCCAUUAUGAAAACAUUGUUGAGACCUUGGAGGAUAUGUUGAGUUUGUGUGUUAGAUCAUGAUGGGAGUUUUGUGAACAGUAUCUUUCCUUGGUGGAAUUCUCUUAUAUUAACAAUUGUUAGCCUAGAAACCAAAUGUUUACCAUUGAGGCAUUGUGUGGUAAGUGAUGUGGAUCGCUAAUAGGUUGGUUUAAAGUCGGAGAAGCUAAACUUAUAGUCUUAGACCUUAUCCAAAAUGCAAUAGAUAAAGUUAAGUUGGGUUGAGAUUGUUUGGUUACAGCUCAAAGUAGGCAAAAAUCUUAUGUUGGUAGAAGAUGACACCCCUUAGAGGUUGCAGUUGGUGACUAUGUCCUCUUACGAGUUUUACCAAUGAAACGAGUGUCACAGUUGGUUCAAAAGGGAAAACUAACACCAAAACUCAUUGGAUUGUUUGAGAUUUUUGAGAGGGUUGGCGCUAUAGCUUAUCGUUCUGCAAUUCAUGCAGUUUUGCAUGUUUUUAUGCUUCUGAGACAUUCAUGAUUCUCCUACAUUAUUUGUCAUGAGGAUAUACAAUUAGACGAGCAUGUAUCUUAUAUGGAGCAACCAGUAGCCUUGGUUGAAAUAAGGGUGACAAAUAUGCGUUCUAAGAAUAUGGGUUUAGUGGAAGUUAUUUGGCGAUAACUAUCGGGUGAAGAGAAGUCUUGGGAAUAUGUGAGAAGUAUCUUCCGUUAUUGGAAACAAAGGUUACCUAAAACUUUAAAAUUCGAGGACGAAUUUUUCUAGGGGGAAGAUUGAAACAUCCCGUUAAUAAAUAAUAAUAAUAAAAAAAAAACAAAAAAAAAGAAAAGUAUAUAUAUAUAUAAUAUGUAUAUAUAUAUAAUAAGCCAAACAAAAAGAAACCGUAACCCACUACCAGUACAAUUCCUAAUUAUACUAUGGAACCCUAUGUUAUUCUCUCACUCUCGUCUUUUCCUUUCUCUGUCUCGUUCACUUUCUUUUCCCUUCGUCAGCGAUUCUUUCUUCUUUUCUUUCUUCAUCAUUUUCUUCUCUAGUCACCAAAUACCACCACAGGAUUACACAAUCAUGAGAAUACACAAGCAUGAAGGGAAAUUUCUGAAUUUAAGUUGAAGGGUUCUUGGCAUAAUUUUGGAUUUAGGAUUUAUGCUAUGAGGAAGGAGAAGAGCACCAACUCUCACAUAAUUGCUUAUUUGGUUUAUUGAGGUAUUCCUACAACUCAUAAAUUUAGAGAAUGAUAUGGUAAGGUACAUUAGGCUUAAGUAGUAAUAUUUUUAGGGUUUUGAUUACAUAAUUGAGAAUUUCGUAGUUGCUCACGGAUAGUAUGACAUUAGAUAAUUAUUGCUGAAGGUUGAAGUUGAUUUUGGUGUUCAGAUUUGACGGCUAGUGGUUCGUUCAAUCGACAUGGAGUGGUUGAGAGCAGUUCGGUUGAUUCGUCAUAGUUAUUUUCAGGCAACUGAGUAGCGGAUUGUUGUCAGAUUCAGAUCUUUCAGUUUUCUUAUUGGUAGGCCUCCUUUGGUUGGUGGCUCGAUUGAUGUCUUCAUUUGAUUGUAGUUAUCUGCAGCUAUAGGGAGUCUUAGGUGGAUUGAUUCUGAAUUGUUAUUUAUUAUUUUAUUUAAGAAAUUUUGGUUAUGAUGAAAACAUUGGGCAGGUUUAUUGUUUUGGAAAUGUUGAUAAUAUAAAGGAGGUUUGUUGAAUUAUUUUAAAAUAUAGAGCAACAUGUAUAAUUUUUGGAAAACACUUUGGAAAAUGAUUUUGUGAGAAACAGGCUUGCCAGACUAGGGUGUUAGUCUGUGCGCCGGUCACGGCUUAGGAUUUUGGGUCGUGAAAAUUAACUGGUUUUGUUUUUUGAUAGGCAUUUUUAACUCAAA